UACGUAGGUGGCAAGCGUUGUCCGGAAUUAUUGGGCGUAAAGCGCGCGCAGGCGGUUUCUUAAGUCUGAUGUGAAAGCCCACGGCUCAACCGUGGAGGGUCAUUGGAAACUGGGGAACUUGAGUGCAGAAGAGGAGAGCGGAACUCCACGUGUAGCGGUGAAAUGCGUAGAGAUGUGGAGGAACACCAGUGGCGAAGGCGGCUCUCUGGUCUGUAACUGACGCUCAGGUGCGAAAGCGAGGGGAGCAAACAGG
rnacentral:misc_RNA from 1 species